GUGUUGGUGUGGAAUGUACGGGGGCUGAAUAACCCCGCAAUGCGUAGUCUUGUUCGUCUAUUUAUGCAAUCAUGUGAGGUUUCCUUGGUGUGCUUUCAAGAAUCUAAACUGGAGGUGGUCGAUCGGACGGUGGUUAGCCAGACUCUGGGAGCUGAUUUUGAUGGCUUUGAUGCCAUACCGGCGAUCGGAACAUGGGGUGGAAUUUUGCUAGCGUGGAGAUCAGAUCGGCUGCAUCUUUCUGAUAUAUAA
rnacentral:rRNA from 1 species